GCCGGACUGGCGGAAUGGCAGACGCAGGGGAUUCAAAAUCCCCCGCCCGCAAGGGUGUCCCGGUUCAAGUCCGGGGUCCGGUA
rnacentral:tRNA from 1 species